rnacentral:rRNA from 1 species
UACAGAGGUCUCAAGCGUUGUUCGGAUUCAUUGGCGUAAAGGGUGCGUAGGUGGCGCUGUAAGUCGGUGUGAAAUUUCGGAGCUUAACUCCGAAACUGCAUUCGAUACUGCCGUGCUUGAGGACUGGAGAGGAGACUGGAAUUACGGUGUAGCAGUGAAAUGCGUAGAGAUCGUAAGGAAGACCAGUGGCGAAGGCGGGUCUCUGGACAGUUCCUGACACUGAGGCACGAAGGCCAGGGAGCAAACGGG